CGUAGAUCAGCCAGAGCAUUUAUGGCUAUGGGUUCGCGUCGCAGGAGCCAGCGGCAUAUUUAUUUUCCGCUGGCGUCCAGAGCUCAUGUUUUCAGCGGCGUCGCAAUCUUCAACCGGUUUUCACAUCUCCUCUCCGAUCUCCUCUGCCCCAAUACCCACCACCUCCUUAUCCCAUCCGACCAUAGGAGUGGAGAAUGAGAAAAGAAAAGAAAGGAAAGCGUCCAAUCUUUUUCUUUUUGUCCUUCUGUGAAUCAGGAUGAGAUAGGGCCAGAAAUUAGAGGAGGAGGAUCGAUGGGUCUCCGUGUGGCGUUGGCCUCUCUUUUCGCCUCGCCCACCCGAUCCCUCUGCUUCGACCUCCAAUCGGGCAAACCCAAGUGUAUCUUCGAGGACAUCAAGCUCCACGCUAUGGCCAUCAGCAAGUACAGCAUCGUCAACCCUUCCCGACUCUAGCCCCGGCGGCAGCGGCGGUCGGACCGGGCUUUGGAGAGGGUGGCAAGGAAAAAGGACUGAGGCGAGGGAUCCAACCCGAUCCAAAUGAUCCGUUGGGCUAAAACAUUUUUGAGCUUCAGUCCUGGCAUUAUUAAGCUACUACAGCGAGAAGGUUGCUUGUUCGCCUCAUUAAAGCAUUUGCAAUCGGUCUAGGCCAAGUUAAUUAGACACCAGAUCCUGCCAACUGCCGCCUUGUUGCAUUUGAAACUGCCACCUGACCGGGCCUGUCAGCCUCAUUUGACGCCAAUCGCUCUCUGACAGGCCGGUGUAUAAUGCCGGAUCCAUACACCAGUAAAAACCAAGGGUUCCCACCAAAGAUAGAAGAUGAAAGCAUCCGGGGAGAGAUGCAAACGGAUAAUGACAAGCAUGAGCUUUGGGCUUCUCUCAUAUUCGAGAUAGGCACUGAAAAUUGAAGCUUAGCUGGUCCCCAUCACUUCAGCAGGGCAACCAAUGCUUUUUUUUAUAACAACCAGUAUAACAUCAUAAUGGCCAUUAUAAUGGUCUCUAUGUUAUAACAUGUUUCCAGUCAAAAAAUCAGUGAAGCAUCUUGAAUGUCCUAAUAACUAUGCAUAAAUUUGUCAUGAUAUUCAAGAUGGUUUCACUGACAGGUGUUUUUUGAGAGAGGAGGUCCGUAGUUACAUAACGAAUUUAAUUGAAAAUUUCUGAAAAUUCAAGAUGAAGGUGGAAGACAUGAAACUGGUGCAUGCUGCAUCCAUGGUCUUUUUGAUUGUUACAACAGUUGCUAUUGCUAUAACAUG